CACUUUGGAAGGAGGAUUUGGGCAUGGUCCAGUUAGAUAGGGAAGGGGUUUGGUAGCAUGGAUUCACUUGUCGGACUCCUGAAAGCUGUGCCAUAAGCUUGCUACGAGGGGGUUUUCAUGCCAAUUUCUCCUCGCCGAUUUCAAGAUCUUCGUGCACCUGAGCAUUGAUUGGGCACGCUCACAUGAAGCAUUUUACGCGCAGUGAGGGAAAUGCAUCAGUAUAGUACAGUAUUUUUGAAUUAUUUCAAAAAACGUUGUCAACACUAGUAAUAGCACUCGACUCGUCUCGAAUCGAUUGAAGGAUUACUUAUUAGUGGUGUCGAGUCUGAAGCCCGAGCCAAUGCUGUAGUUGCUGAAGCCCCAUCCUAUGGAAUACUACCAACUCCCCGGCACAAGUCUGUGAUGCCGUACUGCACUGCAGACGCGUGCUCGACCCCGUUGGAAAUGUACGCAACAGUGCCCACCCUCCUGACCAGGGAUCGCACAAACCCUGCGUUUUGUCGGGUCUGUUCGACUCCUGGCUCUUGACCUUUGGUCGGUGUACGAGAUGCACGAACAGUUUUCGUAGGCUGCGCAAGGAAUUCAAACUGACGCACUGUCACUAUCAACGUUAUCAUUGCUGAGAUCAUCACUCGUACAUGCAGCUGAUCCAUCACUAUCGGACACACGAGUCGUCACAAUCUGAGUUUGGCUGGGCAUGAUUGGACUCAGUUUCCAGUUGCGAUACGUCACCGGACGUACUUUGCUGUGGUGGUUGCUCUGGCCUACUGUUGAGCGGACUUGCGCAUGUACCUUCGCAGCGGCAGAUGUCAGUGCACGCAAGAGAUGACUUCUUGCAUGAGCAGCGUUGAGUGUCACACACUCCUCGGCACCCGCAGCUGAUGAGGCUCUGAAGUUCUUUUGGCACUGCCUGCUGUUCUGUCCAAUUCACAGCAACUCUGCCUGAAGGAAGAAACAAACAUUGUCACAGAC